AAAAGGUGCUCAGUAAGAGUUAGGUAGGCUUACUGUUGCUUGGAGGGGGUUCAACAGGAAUAUUUGUUGAUAUGGCCUCUGUUCAGAGUUCUUAAUUUGCAUGGCCUGAAAUCUUUUGAGGUCAGAUUUCUUUAAGUACUGUGAUGAUUGAAUUGUGUCCCUGAAAAAGAUAUGUUGAAACUCUAACUCCUAGAACUUCAGAAUGUGACCUUUUUGGAAAUAAGGUAAUUGUUGAUGGAAUUAGUUAAGAUGAGAUCCUACUGGGGUAAAGUGAGCCCUAAUUCAGUAUAACUGAUGCCGUAUAAUCAGAGGAGAAGGAGACACAGGGAGAAGAAUGCUGGGUGAUGACAGAGAGAUGGGAGUGAUAUAGCUGCAAGCCAAAGAACACCAAAGGUUAGUGGCUGCCACCAGAAGGUAGGAAGAAGCAAGGAACAAUUCUACCCAGAGGCUCAGAAGGACUAUGGCUUUACUGAUACCUUGAAUUUGGACUUUUGGCUUCCAGAAUUGUGAGAUAAUAUAUUUUAAAUUGUUUUAAGCCACUCAUUUUGGGGUACUUUAUUAUGGCAGCCCUAGGAAAUUAACACAAGUUCUAUGCUAAACUUAAUGACCACAACUUUUCAAAGUUACUCCAGAAAAAAAGGAACACUUGUAAUACUCAAAAAGUGAGUUAAUUGAGAUUUUCCACAGAUGCCAGAUUUUUCCAUCCUAAAAAUGAUUAUAGAACAUUGGGUGUGUAGAACAACUGGUAGAUUUCUGGGGGGAUAGGAAGAGAAACAAAUCUUUGAUCUAUCACAGUCCACAGAGACUUUUGUUUUUUAUUUUACUCCUGAAUUUCCAAAGGUUUUGUAAAGAAGUUUGAAUCCCUGGAGAACCAGAAAGCUUUCAGUUGUACUUGUUUAAAAAGACUCCCAUUAUGUAAUUUGCUUAAAUACAUGGAUAUGAAUAUAUGGAAGCAGCCAGUGAAUAGAAACAAUAUGAUGAACAUAGUCCAGUCUACACUUAAAGAGGACAUGGCCCGAGCCAAACACAGGAUCCUAUUUCCAAGAACACCUGUCGCUUCAUGGAUCAAAUGUAAGAGAUACUUCUUGGGAACUCCUUCUAUCCCAAUACACCAUGUCCGGAGGUCAUAUUCUGUCUACAUUCCUGGCAUUAGCUUUCCUUUGGCCAUGCCUCUUGCUGCCAAAUGGCUAAUCUUCUCUUGUCUGCAUGUUGUUCGCUUGCAAAGCUCUAAAAAUGUUUCUCUAUUUCUUUCUUUCUUCUUUGUUUCUGAGCAAGGUAUCUAAAUGACAGAAAUAUAUUUCAAGUCAACACUUAAAUAUUUCUGUCAGCAUUAGCUGAGAACUCUGGGUAAUA
rnacentral:lncRNA from 1 species